UGCAAGUCGAACGAAGUAGCAAUACUUAGUGGCAGACGGGUGAGUAACAUGUGGGUAUCUACCCUUUGGCCUGGAAUAACACGAGGAAACUUGUGCUAAUACCGGAUAAGUCUUUACGGAGAAAGCUUUAUGCACCAUUGGAUGAGCCCGCACUUGAUUAGUUUGUUGGUAGGGUAAUGGCCUACCAAGACUAUGAUCAAUAGCUGAUUUGAGAGGAUGAUCAGCCACAUUGGGACUGAGACACGGCCCAAACUCCUACGGGAGGCAGCAGUGGGGAAUCUUGCACAAUGGAGGAAACUCUGAUGCAGCGAUGCCGCGUGAGUGAAGAAGGCCUUUGGGUUGUAAAGCUCUUUCGUCGGGGAAGAAAAUGACUGUACCCGGAUAAGAAGGUCCGGCUAACUUCGUGCCAGCAGCCGCGGUAAUACGAAGGGACCUAGCGUAGUUCGGAAUUACUGGGCUUAAAGAGUUCGUAGGUGGUUGAAAAAGUUGGUGGUGAAAUCCCAGAGCUUAACUCUGGAACUGCCAUCAAAACUUUUCAGCUAGAGUAUGAUAGAGGAAAGCAGAAUUUCUAGUGUAGAGGUGAGAUUCGUAGAUAUUAGAAAGAAUACCAAUUGCGAA
rnacentral:rRNA from 1 species